rnacentral:lncRNA from 1 species
ACUUGCCCAGUGAAAAGACUGUAAUCAGACAACUUUAAUAAAGGGAGAGCAGGAGAGUGGUGACGAAUUUCCACAUUCCGAACAAGCUUGUCGAAAGAGGAGUGCAGGGAAGGAGCAAGAAUGAGGCACUGGAAGACGGCUGUAGGCGCAUGAUGUCACAAGUUAUUGGAAGAAAUCCCUCCAACCUAGGUUGGGACAGAUGAAGGCGGCGCUUAUUGGUGUUCACCAAAACACCAGCAUGGUGUACCAGCUUUGGCUAGAUGAUGCUCAGAACACCAGAGACUGGGUAAUUAAUAAAAAGAAGAAAUUGAUCUGGCCUACAGUUCUGGAGCCUUGGAAGUCCGAGAUCAAGGAGCUGCAUCUGGAAAACACAGAUCCUGGUGCCGAACAUGAGGACAGGGCAGGCCGAAGGAGAAAGUGGAAGGAGGGGAGCUUCUCUCUCAGCCUCAUCCUUCUGGGCCUGGAUGCUGGAGAGUCAUGAGGUGCUUCAGAGUACUCUGGGUGAGGAGGGAAAGAUGGUGCCCACCACAUGGAGGCCAGCCUAGGUCUUGUAUGAAACCUGUGAGGCCAGCAGGAGCCAGGCCGUGGCCUGCUGACUGCAUCUGCCAGAUGACUACCAAUGUGUGAGUAAACCCAUUCUCAAGCCCAAGAGAACCUCUCAGCUGAACCAGGCCCAAGUUGCUCACCCACUGAACUGCCAGUUAAAUAAAUGGUGGUUGUUUUAAUCCACUAAAUGCUGGGAUGGUUUGUUAUACAGCAGUAGGUAUCAAUACAGUGUACUUGUCAAUCUAGGAAUUCCUGUCUUGUCAAAUCUGAGAAAAUUCUCGGUCACUGUCACUUCAAAUAUUACUUCUUUCCCAUUUUCUAUUCACUCAUUCCAAAACUCCUAGUGGAUGUCUUUUCUGUCAUUUCUGGUUCUGUCUUUUGUGAUCUUAAACUUUCAUUCAUUGUUUUUCCAUUUUUACUUCCGUGUUACAUUUUGAGUCAUUUCCUU